GAUGAACGCUGGCGGCGUGCCUAAUACAUGCAAGUCGAGCGAACAGACGAGGAGCUUGCUCCUCUGACGUUAGCGGCGGACGGGUGAGUAACACGUGGAUAACCUACCUAUAAGACUGGGAUAACUUCGGGAAACCGGAGCUAAUACCGGAUAAUAUAUUGAACCGCAUGGUUCAAUAGUGAAAGACGGUUUUGCUGUCACUUAUAGAUGGAUCCGCGCCGCAUUAGCUAGUUGGUAAGGUAACGGCUUACCAAGGCAACGAUGCGUAGCCGACCUGAGAGGGUGAUCGGCCACACUGGAACUGAGACACGGUCCAGACUCCUACGAGAGGCAGCAGUAGGGAAUCUUCCGCAAUGGGCGAAAGCCUGACGGAGCAACGGCGCGUGAGUGAUGAAGGUCUUCGGAUCGUAAAACUCUGUUAUUAGGGAAGAACAAAUGUGUAAGUAACUAUGCACGUCUUGACGGUACCUAAUCAGAAAGCCACGGCUAACUACGUG
rnacentral:rRNA from 1 species